AAAGCCUUCGACAAUACAUUACAUCAUCAUCAUCUGCAUCAACAUUACCUUCAUCUGAAUUGAGAACCAUGUGGAUCCGAACCCAUGUCCGGAGAAAGCAGAAAUAGCAGCGGAGGGGUGAGGACUCGUUGCCUUUACUGCUGCGGCUGCGGCUGCUGCUGCUCUGGAGUCGGUUGCAGCAACAACAACAACCACCAAAAAACAAACCAGUCGGUAAUGCAAUGCAAGGAAUGAGGACACACCGCUUUGGAAAGCAAUUUGGCGGCCGGUUUGCAAUGGCCCCGAGGAAGCAAUUCCGAUGCGAUCGGGCCCUCCCCAUCCAAAGAGAGCCAGAUGGAGGCAAUUUGCAUUGAUUUAAAAUAACUGGGAGCACGAGCCACAGUUUGAAGGCAAUGACAAAAUCGUUGGCGUUCCUGUUAUGCACAGAGAGAUCGAGAGAGCUUUCAUGACCAUUGAACUGCCUUUGAGGACCUGGACAAUCCCUCUCCAAUGAGAUCCUAUGGCAAUGAUGGGCAACCUUUUGCACUUGGUGUGUCAAAAUUCACCAAAAAACCUAGCAUGACUUGGGUGGUGUGUCACUUUGAGAAAAAAACCCAUAAUUUCACAAUAUAUAUAGUUUAAAUAACAAAAAUAUAUAAUUGUAAUAUAUAACUGUAUUCAAUAAAUCAAAAACUAUUUACUACCAUUA